GUGCUUACUUUGGCUGCACAUACACUAACAUUGGAACAAUACAGAGAAGUUUUGCAUGGCCCCUGUACAAAUAUGACAUGCAAACUCGUGAAGGGUUCCAUAAUUUU
ensembl:snRNA U6 U6 spliceosomal RNA